rnacentral:SRP_RNA from 1 species
CGUCAGGGGCUGCGGAGUGGCGGCUUGUGAAUCCCGCCAGGACCGAAAGGUAGCAACGGUAACUAGUCCUCCAUUGCCGCGGUCUCCUGACACUU